UGUAGCUGCCUAGAUGCUUUAUUUAUUUGCAUCCGGAAGUACAUGUGCAACAGUCUCAGUGCAUUUAAACUGCCCUUACUCUAAAUCUCUACACCCAGUAGGAGUUUCAGGCUGAAAGCAGGCAAUGCAGAGGAUGUAAUGGCUCAAAUGUGCAGCAAACUGCAUGAUUUUAGCCUGAAAACUCUUCCAUGCAUUCCCCAGUGCCUGCAUGUGAUAAAGCUAUGCAGAACAUGAAUGUUUUGUAUUCUAGAGCUUCAGCAUAAAUCAGUGGCAUAUCUGAUUAUGUGUUGUCACGCUUUAUCUAUUCUUUCCUUAUUUUAUUUUCCCCUUCUUUUUCUGUGUGCAGCUGGGUGAAAAGAGAGGUUUGGAGUCUAGAAUAUUUUCACAUGGCCCCUUAUGUUUUAAAGGUUAAGCAAGAGAUCUUCUCUUGCACUUUUUUUGGCCUAAUAAACUUGUAAACAUGCUUUCCAUGCUCUGUGUAACUCCUGUUGUCUCUUCACAAAUGCAGUUAUGUAGUCCUCUAGCAAUUCAGUUGCUCUUCCACAAAGAAACUAAUGCCGGCAAUUCCAGCGGAGUCGUCUGAACAGCAAGGAAGCUGGUGCUUGCUGGCACCAGCUAGAAGCCCGAGUCAAAUAUUUCAGUGCUCACACAUGGUUAGUCUUCAUCAUUUGGUAAUAUGGUUGUCAACACACACGCCAGUCAUUCUAAAAGCACCGAGUACAAUGUGGUGGCAAUGUAUUUCCAGUGUAGGGUUUGCCAGAAUUUAAAAGUGAAACUUCAAGGCAAUGGAAAAUGCACCUUCUCGUUCAAGGGUGUUUUUAAACGUUCCUCUGGGCAGAUGGGUUAGCAGAGUGCAUGACUUGGUGGGAGCAAACUGGCUGGUGACUUCUCAAAGGAAAACCUCAUGGGCACUGCUAUGGUUUUGUGAAUCAGCCUCCACUAAGUUUGCUGUUUGUUUGAGGUAUUGCCAUCAGUCAGCCUGCUCCUCUGCAAGUGGACCCAGGUCAAGUUAUGUUAGCUUUCAGGCCUCUCCUGGAAAGGGCAGAAGUACAAUUUCAGCACUUGACAUCAAUUAGUAUCAAUUAGUAAUUUCUGAGAACUUGAUAAUAAAAGUUUCCUACUCAGAUGUAUGUGACUGAAACUCUGCUGUGAUGCUUUUUGUUUUGCUUUUUUAUAAGGUAUCUGUUACACGUUUACAUGCUUUCCUCAUUAGAGCAUCUCUGGUAUGCUGUGGUAGCACUUGGGCUUUCACUUCUAUCUGCUUUCAGUAGGAGCUUCUUACGUGCCUGCACUGUGUCUGUGCUCUGCUUCAAGGUGUGACAUAAAUACAUAUACACACCAAAGCCUCAUCAUUUCCAGUUCCCUUUACAGGUUGAAUUAGGUGGGGAGUCACAGCACUAGAAGCCACUGGUGGCAGGGAGCAUCUGCACUGCACAGUGCUGUGUUCAGCCCUGCAGCUGCUCUAAGGGCUCAGUAGAGCUCCUGAGCUUGGAGCAGCCAGCCUGCUGCCUCAAAUGGGAGCCAGUUAGUCACCAAGUCCAAAUUUUAGAUGCUGGGCACAUCAUCUUAGUUACUGCCUGCUGCUGGCAGCAGUAUGGGGUUUUGCCAGGUUCGUGUCUGAAACUGUUGAAGCCUUAGCAGCAAGGAACCACAGUCCUGAAUUACAUUGGUAUUCAUACCGCUGUUGCACAGUUCUGUGUCCUUGCCUGUGCAUAAGCACUGCUUAGAAAGUCAGGCAAGGUCUCUGAUGAUGGCAAGCGAAGGAGGUGUAUGCUGUUUAGUUCAGGUGAGCCGACAGUGCAAUGUAACUCUGCCUUCUGGUGCCAAUUCCUAGAAACUCAAACCCAAGAAGCUUCUAGCAUUCUCCUGUUGCAGAAGGUAAUAGACCCAUUUUGGAUGUGCAGUACAGCCUAAAACGUUCUUGGUUUAAUUUGAUGAAGAAGGUAGGUAGAAAUCUUGUUUACACCUGAAGUGAGGUGCACAACCCCCUGUUGGUACAGCAAGGCAGUGCUGCUUCCUUCAGCAAUACAAUAGCCAGUUGUCCAGGAGGGCUGAAGCUCAGUGGCCUUGUGCUGGAGAGAGAGAAAACUCAGCAGGGCAACAAGCUGAAGGAAGAGUGGUCAGUCUGCUCUUUGCAGUGAAGUUCCAUAUUAAAGUUACUUCCAUGUUAAACCCCGGCAAGAUGUCUGUGAGGUACCAUCGACUGCCCCCAGGCUGUUUUUGAGGAGCUGCACUGGUUUGGGCAGAUUUUGGCUUUGACCUUUUGCUGGGUUUGUAACAAACACUACAUGCUCCUAGCAGAUCUGCUGUUUCUUCCUGCCUUGGUGUUUGGGGUUUAUUUUACAUUUUAUGUACAAAUACCUUCAACAUUUUUUGUAUCAAACAUGAGCUGCAAACUGUGUGGAAUUGUUGUUCCUCUCUGACAUUUUUGGUGUGUGAAUAGUUUUCCUCCACGUGUCUUAGAUGAAGAUACAGUGAUGUGGCUGCCAUAGAGAGAGUGACCAAAUGAUUCUGUAACUGUGCUGCUGUAUUUCUACCUGUGAUGUACUUGAAGGAGGAUGCCCUUGUCCACCUCCACCCUCAUUCUUUUUAAUUUCUCUCUUUAUUUCUCUUUUUAUUUUUUGACCAUUGCUGCUGGUGUCCUUUCAUAGUGUCUUCUUUGGGUUUUUUUUUUUUAAUAGCUGCCACCUUUUUCUUUCUUUCCUUGGACAAGUUGUCUUGCGUUGAGAUCUGUACAACUGUGUAGGUUUUACAUGUCCUGAAGAACGGAGGAGCUGCUGGAGGAAGAUGUUUUGGACCAAUGUACUUCUGCUUUGUGACUGUGAAAUGUUAAUCUUUUUGUAACCUAAGAACAAACAAAUGUUUGGUAAAGGGAUAUAUUUUGUGUUUUUUUGAAACUUUUCAGUGCAAUGAACAAAAGAGGAGGAGGAAGAAGAAGUGUAUGCGCAAAGUUUUAAAUAAAAUUUUAAAUUAUAUAUUAUAUAUAUUCAUCUA